rnacentral:lncRNA from 1 species
ACAAGAACGAACAAAGUAGUGAUAUUCUCACUCUCAUAGCAAUACUACAAAUAAUAGGACAAAACAAUAUUUGUAAACACACGAGUGGUCCAUAUAGUUCUCCAGAAAUCCCUAAAAUAGAUCUUGCAUCUAGGUAUGCAACACCACAUGAAAGGCCCAUACCAUAUGUGAUUAUGAACCUUUAUUUAACUACAUAUAGAUAUAGUAGUACAACAAAUAUUACUGUCCGGCUGGGAAACGAAACCGUCAAUAUGCCACUGACAAUAUGCCGAUAUAAUUGUCGCAAACAAAACGUACUCACAUGUUAUCGAUACAAUUUCACCAAUAUUAACGGACAUAUAUUAUUUCAACAAUGUCGAUGCACACAACCUUUAUUUAAUAAAGAACUGAUGGCUUGCAUAGAGAACUUCUGAGAUAUUCAUCAGAGACAUAUAUGUAUACACCAUUUUUAUUAAGGGGUGGUGGUUAUUGAAGGUGGAGAGAACGGAAAUAUGGGAGUUGAUGGGAAAUUUGGAAGUGAAGUAAUAAUAGGGGGAGGCAACCUAUAUUCUGGCCAUAAAGGUGCGGGGGUCAGAGGAGGAAACUUCAGGUUCCGAGGAGGAAACUUCAGGUUAGGGAUCUUAGGCAGCUUAUAAUGAGGAAAGGUAGGGGCUAAGAGUUUUCGAGGAGCGGCGAAAGCUAAAUGUGUGCUUGAAAGUAAUGAAGCGACGACAAAGAUAGCUAUGACAAACGAUUUCCAAGUGGCCAUCUUAGUGUGUGGAAAUAAAGCUGAUGAAAUUUGAUGUGGACGAGAAGACCAGCCUAUGGUUAUAAUUUAUAACGUUGAUUCCAUUGGGAACAAGAACAACCCCAUUUAUUUUUGGUUUUAAAUGCUGUAAAAUUCUGUUGAAAAAUAAAAAUAUGUCAGAUGCCGGUAUGGGUCAAAAUUUAGAAUAGGAUAGUACUAAUUUGUAGUUUUCCAUUAAAAGUCUCGCAGUUGGUAGGUACACCUAUCAUUGUCUUGGUUUCUAUUUUGCUUUGCCAUGCCAUUCUUCACAAAGAGAUAUGCCAUUUUUCUCGUUCUUCUUGAAAAGGAAAGGUUGAUAGAAUAAUUAAUCUCAAAGAUAAAAUAGACUUUGGCUGGAAAGGGAUAAUGAAAUGAUUGAAAAAGGCGAUGCGGCCCUUUGUUGUUUUGUUGCCGAUAACAAUAUAUAUAUAUAUAUAUAUAUAUAUACAGAGAGCUUUCAUUGAGGGAUCCUUCAAAUAAGCUUAUUUGAGGGACACCCCUUGUAGGCCCCAUUCCGGAUUGUAUUUCACUAAUCCAAACCGUCUAUUUUGUACAUACUCAUUCAAAGAUCAUCUCAACAAAAAAUCACUUGAAUCCGAUAUUAUUUGACCACUCAAUUAAGCUAUUGAAAUUUUAGCAUUUUCUUGAAGCAUCGUAUUCUUUGAUUUUGUAAGACACAAUUGGAUGUCGAAAUGGUUUCCGAUUUGUCUAAUUUUUUGUAAGGAUGAUCUAUGAAUAAAGACCUAAAAAAUAGAUGGUUUGGAUCAUUGGGAAAAAAAAUUGUGGGGUACCCUAAGGGGUGUCCCUCAAAUAAAAUUAUUUGAGGGAUCCCUCAAUAGAAGGGGACUGAUAUAUAGAGAGCUUCUAUUGAGGGAUCCCUCAAAUAAGCUUAUUUGAGGGACACCCCCUUGUAGGCCCCAUUCCGGAUUGUAUUCACUAAUCCAAACCGUCUAUUUUGUACAUACUCAUUCAAAGAUCAUCUCAACAAAAAAUCACUUGAAUCCGAUAUUAUUUGACCACUCAAUUAAGCUAUUGAAAUUUUAGCAUUUUCUUGAAGCAUCGUAUUCUUUGAUUUUGUAAGACACAAUUGGAUGUCGAAAUGGUUUCCGAUUUGUCUAAUUUUUUGUAAGGAUGAUCUAUGAAUAAAGACCUAAAAAAUAGAUGGUUUGGAUCAUUGGGAAAAAAAAUUGUAGGGUACCCUAAGGGGUGUCCCUCAAAUAAAAUUAUUUGAGGGAUCCCUUAAUAGAAGGGGACUGUAUAUAUAUAUAUAUAUAUAUAUGUUAUAUUGUUGUUUGGGUGUGGUCUCCAAUUCCAAGUCAAGUCACGUCAAGUCAAUGGUCUCAAUUUCAAGCCAAGUUAAUAGACUCAAUUUCAAGCCAAGUCAAGUGGUUCCAAUUUCAAACUAAGUCAAGACAGACUCAACUUCACAAGAAAUUAUUAUUUACAAUGAAAGUAAAUAAAUGAAAGACCAAGGAGUUUUGGUUGGGAUUUCACUCAAAGGCGAACUAGUGGCCCAUGGAUUCUCUCUCUCUCUCUCUCUCUCUCUCUCUCUCUCUCUCUAUAUAUAUAUAUAUAUAUAUUUAAUACGAAGGAGUAAGAAGUCAUAUGAACUUUGGCCAAGUUUCUUGAAAAUGCCAAAUUGCCUAAAGAUCUUUAGGCAAAAAGAUCUGAUGAAAGUUCGAAGGCUAACUUUAUGGCUUUAUACUAUCUAUAUAAUAAUAUUUAAACUCAACAUGAUGCAGAUGGACUCAUUAGAAUUCUAAAUCACCCAACAUCAGUGGAUUAUGUUUAAUCAAAACUAGAAACUCCGGAAACCAUGAUGUCUCACCAGAAGAAAAUAAUGCCCUGUUGAAACUGGUGAGUUCGUACUCCAUUGGUACGCUGAGAAGGCUAGACAUGCUGCAGGUUUCUAAUGAAAAGAUUCUGGGAGACCAGGAGAGACUCAUGGCUAAGCUUAAGAGGCGCCAUUCUCUUCCUUCAGAGGCUUCCAGAACAUAAUGUAAUCUUUUAGAUUUUACAGAGCCUGCACCUUUAUUGCAGGUGGAAAAUCUAUCUGUUGUAUGCCUUCUUUCAUGUUAUAAUAAUUGUGCAAAUUCUUAAACUUGCACCUGUGGUUUUUACGUCUUUUCAAAAUGACGAUUUGGAACCUUGUGUCUUAUAGGUUCAAGUAACCACAUCAAAUCUCUCAAAUUACAUAUUUCAAUGCAUGUGAGCCCGGAACUUCUGGCUCGGGCUAAACACGACCUCAGAAUUUAUUCGCCCUUUUCAAAUAUGCAUGAAAUAUGAAUUGAGGAAAAGUCAUGAUAAUAUUGUAAUAUAGUAGUGAAGAGCAUUAACUACUAUAUAAUCAAAACUUCAGGUUCAGGACUUUUCAUAUAUUGGGAUCAAUGGGCUUCUAGCCCAGAUCAUAUAAUAUAACCAAAUAUGUGGGGAGCCUCAAUUCAUCAUUUGAGGUUUAUCCUGAUAUUAUCCAUUUCAUGGUGCAUUCUUAACAACCGGAAUUCACAAAAUAUAUUUCUUCCUUGAGGUGUCGAUUGUAACAGAAUUGAACUUUAUUAAAUUUAUCAUUUCUUAUGCCAAAGAAAUAUGUGGUGUACCACAAUUUGCAAUAAUACCUCAAGGGUUGCCCAUUUAACUAUAGGAACUUCAAGUUCUCAAUAUUGCCAUAUUUUAAACUUUAUGCCAAAAUCAUAUAUUCUUAUAGUAUGGGCAUUCAAUACUCUUAGAUUUUGAACUUCAGGCCAAAAUCACAUAUUCUCAUGGUAUGAACAUUUUUACAAUUUUCUGUAUGUAUUUUGGGACUUCAAGCACUUACAUAAUUGUCCAUAUUUUGAGAAACUUCUGGCAUCUCAUUUAAUUGCUCAUUUAUGAGUUUAAGGAACUGCAUGUUCCCUUUUGUAUAUAGUGACAAUUUACCCAAAAUGGUUAAUAUUUAUGCAUAUGUCACUAUUCAUGUAUACGAUACUAUUCAUCAAGUCAUGAAUACGUAUCUAUUCAUGUGUACAGUACAUUUGCUAGUACAGUUAUUAUUUAUGUGUACAUCACUUUUAACCAAUACGGUACUGUUGCAUCAUCAAGGAACUCUAGGUCUUUAUUUACAUGUCAAGGAUCAAGGAUCUUCAAGUCCGAUAUCUUGUUUACAAGUAUAGUAAACAAGAGAUUGUCAGCUCUCAUAUCAUUAUCAUCAUCAAGGAUCUUCAAGUCCUGAUGUAGUUGUAUGAUGGGGAUCAAAGAACUUUUGGUCCUGAUCUGUAUGCUGUAAAAACUCAUCAUACUGCACAAUUAAUCCAUAAAAUAAAUUGCUUGUAAAUAAAUUGCUUGAUGUAUGGACGUUAAUCCUGCGCCAUACCUUAAAUAAAAUUAAAUAUGCGGUAAAGUAAAUUCAUAAAUUAAAUUGCUUGCUGUACGGACGUUAAUCCCACACCAUACCUUAAAUAAAAGUAAAUGUGCAAUAAAGUAAAUUGCUUGUUGUAUUGGAGUUAAUUCCACACCAUACAAUAAUAAAGUAAAUGUGCUUGUAUGAGCACUAAUUCUGCUCCAUACUUUUAAAUAAAAGUAAAGGCAGUUGUGUGGACGAUAAACCUGCACCACACUUUUAAAUAAAUAUUGUUGUAUGGGUAAUAAACCUACACCAUACAAGAAAUAAAUUGUAUGAGUAAUGAACCUACACCAUAUAGUAAAUAAAAUAACUGUGGGAAUAAAACCACCACUAAAAAUAUAGGAAGUGAAACCGUCUAUUUUUAUUAGUUGUUAGUAAUAUGAAAGCAAAUAAGUAUAUUAUAUUACUAUCAACUUUUCAUAUCAAUAUUAUAAUUAUAUAUAUAAGAUAACCAUAUAUAAUAAAUUGACAGUUAUCGCUUCUGACAAUCGUGGAUUAUAUAUACUAGAUUAAGACUACCAUAUCAAAUAAUAUUCUAUAAAUAUCACUUGUGUAUAUACAUAUAACUUGAGUAUAUUGCCAUUUAUAUAUAUAAUAUGUUAUAUCAAAACCAAAAAGUUAAUGAUGCUUUAAUAUAAUAUAUAAAGCAACCAUAUAUCAAAAGGAAUCAUGGCCGACAAUGAAUCAUUGCAUAUGUGCAUGUUUUCAACUUUGUUGCUUUCACUCCUGCCAUUAGCACUCAAACUGUUUGUAUAAUCAGCAUAUAUAUAUAAGGUAGCAUUGAAUAAUGUAAAGUAUUAAUAAACGAAGAAGAUGAAAAAAUAGUGAGCUUAUCAUGUUUUGGUGGAUUUGCUCGUAUAUCUCUCUAGCAGACCACAGCUCCUUCUCUUUUCUUCCUUACAUCAACACAAUGAUCAGUAGUAUAAAUAAUAGUGCAACACAAAAAUUAUACAUGAGAGCUUCUCGUGCUAAUAACGUGUUAUACAAUAACUGGAAUAUGUGCGAAUAUUGAGCUGCACGUAAAGUGGAUGAGAAACAGUAACUUUUCCACUAUGUAAAAUAAUAGGGCUACAACUUUAGUGUUUACAAUAUAUGUAGCUCACUAAUUUUUCUCUCUUGGAGAAUUUCUCUCCUCUCACCCACUCUCUUUCUUUCUUUUCUUUCCUUCCUCUCUGCCUGACUCUCUUUCUUCUCUCAGUUGGAGUCUUCACCAAAGGAAGGGGGGAAGCCUUAUUUGUAGGCAGAAUUUUGUGGCUGCUUACUCAUUUCUCUUUGGCUUCACGUGGGUGUUGACAAGCAUCAUCAUUACUCUUCAAUUAAUUAGGUAGUGUGCUCUACCAUUUUGGCCUCCACAUUCUUGACUUUACAACAAGUAUAUAUUUUAAUAUGGAGGAGUAAGAAGUCACAACUUUGGCCAAGUUUCUUGAAAAGGACAAAUGGCCUAAAGAUCUUUAUAAAAAAGAUCUAAUGAAAGUUCGAAGGCCACCUUUAUGGCCUUAUACUAUCUAUAUAAUAUUAUUUAGACUCAACAUAUAAGGUAUAAUCAUAGUCUAAAAUAUCGAUAAUAUCGACGAAAUUAUCAUUUUUUCGAGUCACAAAUAUUUGGAACGUAUCCACACAUAUCGUAUAAAUAUCGAUAAUAUCAGAAAAUAUCGAUGUCGAUAAUUGUGCUCACUCACUACUACAAAAAAGGAAAAAGACGACGGUAAAUCACCGUCGUGUAUUCGAUUUUUCAAUGGUCGUGGAAUCCACCGUCAUCUUUUCCCUCAUAUACCACGACGCUAAAUCACCGUCGUUGUUAAAAUAUACAACGUCAUCAACAAAUACAAAACGACGUCUUUGUACUGCAAAAAGAUCUAAAAAAGCAGUCGAGGAUGAGAAUAGACGACCAACUCUCUAAAAAAACCGUCGUUAAAAAGGAAAAAUAUGACACAUAUUAAGAGAACAAGGCCGCAAGAUAGACAUACAACGACGGAAAUAAAACAACGACGCCGUUAAAUAUCAUUUUCACGACAAUAAAAAAUUUGACGUCUUUAAAUACAUUAGAAGACGACGUUAUUGAUACCUACUACGUCGCAUAUAUAAAAACAGCCGUCGUAAAAUUAAUUUUCCACUUCGAUUUUUCGAUAAAAGAUGACGUGGAAAUAGUUGUCAGUGUCAUUAUUUACGACGUAUGUAUUUAUUGAGUAGACGUUGAAAAACUAAACAACGUCGGUUACAAAUAUAUGAGAGUCGUAUUACAAAAUUUAUACGUCAUAUUUUCAGAAACAAACAACGACGAUAAAUAUUAGACGUUGUUAAAUAAAACAACGUCGGAAAACAAUAAAAACAGACGUGUUUAGUCUGCUAAAGUUCUAGAAAAUAGUCGAGGAUGAGAAUAGACGACCAACUCAAACAAAUCACCGUCGUUAAAAAGGAAAAAUAUGACACAUGUUAAAAGAAAAAGGCCGCAAGAUAUACAUACAACGACGACAACUAAAAUUUUACGCCGUUAAAUAUAAUUUACACGACAAGAAAAAAUAUGACGUCUUUAAAUACAUGAGAAGACGACGUUAUUGAAAUAUACUACGUCUCUUAUUUACAAACAACCGUCGUGAAAUAAAUUUUCCACUUCGAUUUUUCUAAAAAAGAUGACGUGGAAAUAGUUGUCAGUGUCAUUAUUUACGACGUAUGUAUUUAUACAGUUGACGUUGAAAUGCGAAACAACGUCGGUGGCAUUUAUAUAGUCGACGUUGUAUUUAUAUCUAUCAUCAUUACUCACGACGCACUUAAUAAUAUAGACGACGUUGAACUUCUAAACAACGUCGGUUCCAAAUAAAUGAGAGCCGUAUUACAGAACAUAUAGACGGCGUUGAUUAUGAUGAGAGCCGUAUUACAAAUAACGUCGUUUAAUUGUUAUUAGACGGCGGUUAUAAUGAAUUUCCGUCGGAAUUCAUUUCGUUCCUCUUCGUUUAUAAAAGAACUUGCGACGUGGAAAAUGUAUGAUGACGUCGUAUUUUUUAACGUUCAGAUUAUAUAUCUCGUUUUUUAGACGUCGGUAUUAUGGGAUUGGAGUCGUGUUAUUUUGAAUUACAUGGCGGUUCUUAAUCCUUCCCCGACGUGAUAUCCUGAUUAAUUGCUUCACAAUUGCGUCGUGGUUCUUCAUUGUUACGUUGCUUUAAGACGUCGGUAAAUAUGCUGAAUAACUGGUUCACAAUAACGUUGUGUUUUAUUUGAACGUAGAAAGUGAAGAAAUCACAUUACAAUAUAUUACAAAAUUAAUGUCAUACACUGCCAAUUACAUAAGCAUCAUUCAAUCCAUAUAUCUUCACACCCAUCUCGAAUAUUUUGACCGCCUAACUCACCCACCAGUUCAUCAAAUGUGUCAACAUUUGGCAUCCCUCUAGUAAAUGGCUCACACUCAAUUAUCACAUCACCUAAGACUUCAUCACCAAUAACAUCAUUAUAUUCUCUAUUAGGCAUUGAUAACACUACCGACCAACCACGAUGCAUCGGGUCGUCAACAAAAAAUAUUUGUUUGACUUGAGAAGCCAAAACAAAUUGGUCAUUCCUAUGUCCAAUUUUACUCAAAUCUACAAGGGUAAAUCCAAGUUCGUCGACUACAAGACCAGAACUAUCUAUCCAAUCACACCUAAAGACUGGGAUUGUAAACUUUUGGUAGUCAAGGUCCCAAAUUUCUUGAAUGACACCAUAGAAACCCAUAUUUGAGAGAAUUGGGUUUUUAUCCUUGGCACUAGCAACUUGCAUGGUAUGUGCAAGUAAAUAAACUCCACUAUUUUGAGUUGUCCGCACAUCAUCUUGUGCCUUGAUAUUGAAUUUAAUACCUUUAAUAAGAUAGCUCCUAUAUAAUGGCACUGACAUGUUUGGACCAGCUGCUAGCCACCUUAAAUUUUCUGAUACGCCAUGAUUGUCUUCCUCAAGUUCACUUUGAACCUGCAAAUUAAUCAUAUCUUAAUUCAAUCUAACAUAUAAAUAAGAAGAAAAUUAAAAGAGAAAUAUGUUAUUCAACAAUAUAUACCUUGAAGCGUAGCCAUUGAAUGAAAGUGCUAUUGUGCUUAUCCUGCAGCCACUUUGUUCUCUUUCUAAAUUUUGGAUAAGCAGUCUUGAUGUGAAUCAUAUGUUGCCUACAUGACACGAAAAAUUCAAGCAUUACGGUCCUAAAUAUAGAAGAUAAACAUAAGAAAUAAUUUAAAAUGGAAACUUAAAGAAUAAAGCUCAUACGUACUCGAUAUAAGGUAGGACUUCCUCCGUAUUCUCCAAGACAUAUAGAUGUGCUUGAUUCAACAGGUCCUGAUCAACUACGCUCACUGUGCAACCUGAUAAUGGCUUUGAAAGUCCCAUCUUUUGGCUUGAAGGCACUCCAACUGUACUAACAUCAGAUAAAUGCUGAGUACAACACUCUACCGCUUCUUCAGCUAUAUACCGCUCAGCAAUGCAACCUUCGGGACGAGUACGAUUCUGAACAUACCCCUUCAGCACUUUCAUAUAUCUUUCAAACGGAUACAUCCACCUAAAAUAUACUGGCCCACAUAGACGAACUUCUCUGACAAGAUGUACUACUAGAUGAACCAUGAUAUCAAAGAAUGAAGGGGGAAAGUACUUCUCAAGCAAACACAGAGUAACUACUACAUCUUCUUCCAACUUAUCUAGCUUGGAAACAUCAACAGUCUUUGCACAUAUAGCAUUGAAGAAGAAGCACAAACGAGUUAUUGCAUACCUUGCAGGCUUCUCCAAAACAGAACGAAUUGCCACAGGGAGCAAUUGUUGCAUUAAGGUAUGACAAUCAUGUGAUUUAAGGCCAAGAAGUCUUGAAUCUUGUAAAGAUACAAGAUUUUUAAUAUUUGAAGAAUAACCUUCAGGGACCUUCAUACCAUAGAAAGAAUUGCAAACCUCUCUCUUCUCUGCUCUUGACAAAUUCCAAGGCCCAGGAGGCAAACGAGUACGUCUUUCUCCAUACUCGGGUUGCAAAUCAGUUUUGACCCCCAUGUUCAAUAAAUCUAAUCGAGCAGCAAUCCCAUCUUUAUUUUUUCCAGGGAUCUCCAGCAAUGUACCAAUGAUACUAUCGCAAACAUUCUUCUCAAUGUGCAUAACAUCUAGGGCAUGCCUCACAGGAAGGUAUUUCCAAUACUCGAGAUCAAAGAAUAUUGAUUUCUUCUUCCAACAAACUCUGUCACCAUUUUCAACCAUAUGCAGCACUUCUUCUCCGGUUAAUGGCUCGGGAGGUAUGCCAUAUUCAGGUUUCCCAUUAAAAGCUGCACGUUGCCUCCUAUAUGGAUGAUUGAUUGGUAACCAUUUUCUAUGCCCAAUGUAACAAAUUUUGUGGCCAUUUUUCAACCUGUGACUAGGUGUAUCAUCGCCGCAUAUUGGACAAGCUUUAUAUCCUUUAACAACAGAACCAGAUAAGUUUCCAUAGGCGGGGAAAUCAUUAAUUGUCCACAUUAAUGCAGCUCUGAGUGUAAAGUAUUCUCCAUUAUGUGCAUCAUACACUCCUCUAAUCCCAACCCACAAGGAUUUUAAAUCAUCAAUCAAAGGCUCCAAGUAGACGUCUAUAUCAUUUCCGGGUUGUUUAGGACCGGAAAUCAAUAAGGUUAACAUCAUGAACUUUCGUUUCAUGCACAGCCAUGGAGGGAGAUUAUAUGUAACUAAGAUAACCGGCCAACAACUAUAUCUGCUACUUAGAGAACUGUGGGGAUUGAAUCCAUCAGAUGAAAGAGCCAAUCUCAAGUUUCUCGGCUCAUUACCAAACUCAGGCCAUUUAUCAUCAAGAAGUUUCCAAGACGGGGAAUCCGCCGGAUGAGACAUCUGACCGUCAAUUGAUUUUCUAGCAGCAUGCCACCAAGUCAAACUCUUAGCUGUCUCAUGUGAUUGAAACAUCCUUUUAAACCUUGGAAUUGGGGGAAAAUACCACACCACCUUCGCUGGCACACCCUCUUUCAAGAUUGAAUCUUUGCCUUCCUUCCACCUUGAGAUACCACAAGUAGGACAAUUAGUUGAAUCCUCAUACUCCUUCCUAUACAAGAUGCAAUCAUUGGGGCAUGCGUGCAUUUUCUCAUAACUCAGCCCCAAUGCACACAAAGUCUUUUUAGCCUCAUACAUGGAGGUUGGUAUUGUAUUUCCUUCUGGAAGCAAAUCGCCUUGAAGUAUCAAUAAUUCUGUAAAACAGACAUCACUCAUCCCAUGUUUUGCCUUCAAAUUAUACAACUUCACUAAUGCCGAUAACUUCGUGUACUUUCUACAACCAGGGUACACUGGUUGAUCUCCAUCCCCAAUCACAUUGGCAAACUCAUACGGAUCCGAACCAAAAUCACCAAAAUCAUUAUCAUCCAUAUCAAUUUCUUCAGACACAAAACUGUACCUACUAUGGCCAUCAUCUUCUUCAACAUUUCUACUAGCAUUAGUAGUUGCUUCCCAAGGUUCUCCGUGAAAUGUCCAAUUCUUAUAGCUUUGGUCAAUUCCAUUAAAGUAUAAGUGAUCCCUUAUAAUUCCAACCCCAAACAACUUCAAAUUAACACAUUUAACACAUGGACAACGGAUAUGUGUUGUAGUUAGAAGAUUUUCUACAGCAAAGUUCAAAAAUGCUUCCACCCCAAAUUCAUAUGCCUUCGAUCUUCUAUCCGAGUGCAUCCAUGACUUAUCCAUCUCCGACACUAUAACCUAUUAUCUAUAAUAAAGUGAAAAUACAGGCAAUGACCAUCACUAUAGCAGAUUAUAAAAUGAUCUAAUCGCAAGUAAUACACAACAGAGACGACGGGUUUUAAACAAAAACAGACGUAUUUGGCAUAUAUAGACGACGGAUUUUCAACAGACGUCGUCUAUUAUAAGUAAUACAAACGACGGUUUAUGAAAAAACCGUCGUGUAUAAGUAAUACAACGACGGUAGUUUAAAAAAAUCGUCGUGUAAUCGUCGUCGUAAGCCUUAAAAUUCGUCGUGUCUCAGUUUAUUUUCAAGAACACAAAACCCAUUAAGAACACAACAUAUAUAUGAAACCAAGCAAGAAACCAACAUAUACAUGAAACCAAGCAUGAAAACAAUAAAUCCAUUCCCAAUUCAACAUAACAGAUAAUCCAUGAACCCAUUAAACAGAAAAUCCAUGAACCCAUACCUAUAAGCACAUUAUUAACAGAUCGCAAAGCAUACACAUAAAACCCUUUAACAAAACAACCUAAUAUAACUCGAAUCGUUACUAGAAUCAUCACUCGAAUCCCCAUCUUCAUUAUCAGUUUCUUCCUUCGUAGGUACUAUUUGCUCCCCAUCAUUUUCUCCAUAGCGGAAAAUGACAAGAUCAAAUAAAGGUGUACUUUUGCUGGAAAUCAUUUGGAAGUUGGUGAUCUGUGUCUUUUUGUGUUGAUUUCCAGCAAAAGUACACCUUUAUUUGAUCUUGUCAUGAACCCAUUAAACAGAAAAUCCAUGAACCCAUACCUAUAAGCACAUUAUUAACAGAUCGCAAAGCAUACACAUAAAACCCUUUAACAAAACAACCUAAUAUCAUUCAAUGAAUUUACAAGGGGAAGAUAGGGUUUAUACUUACAGGUUGGACGAGCUCACAGAUUCGACGGAGCCUGGAGAGUGCAACUUUUAAUUAGAGCAGAAGUGAGAGAGCGAAAUGUUAUGUCGCGCGAAAUCUGAAAAUUUAAGGUUUCAGGGUUCGAAGUAUAAGAAUAAGAGCCAAAUCUAAAAAAAUUUAGGUCGCGCGAAAAUUUUUAGAGUUCGCGCGUUUUAAAACGUCGAAAGAAAAACCAAGGCGAAAGUUCUACACGUACCGACGUAAAUUUAAUAUUCCACGACGGAAACUUCAUUUUUCGGAUUAAGAACGUAAGGCCGUUCAUUUUGAAGCUUCAUUUUUCGGAUUAAUUUUAAAUUUAUUUUGAAUUUUUUAUAUAACGACGACUGAAAAACCACGUCGGUGUUAAGAAAUUAAAGACGUUGUAAAUUAUAUAAACCGACUUACAUAUUAAAAUGACGUCGUUUAAAGCGUAAACCAUGUCGUAUGUUUUUCUGUACGACGUAAAAUAUGUAUUCCACGACGCAACCACCGUCGUUAAAAAUUAAUACCCUAAACCCAUAAAACUAAAUUAUACAAUUUAAAAAAUUAAGUUUAUAAAAGGUUUUAUGGUUUUAAAGCCUAACAUAUACCCUAGACUACCCAAAAAUUAUACUUUAAAAAUAAACCCCAAUAAAUAACAACCCUAAUCUCUAAACCCUAGACUCUAAACCCUAAACCAUAAAACUAGAAGUGAUUUUAUGACUCAUCAAAACAAUUUUGUUUUGGAUGGUCAUUUUAAAUUUUUGUUAUUCAAAAUGAAUUUUUUCAAGGUUUAUGUGGAAGAAAAUAUAUCAAUGACUUCAUAGGAGUUGACUUUUCAAUUUUCUGAUUUAUUUUAAAUUUAUUUUGAAUAUUUUGAUAUAAAAAUAAUAAAAUAUUCUUACCACAACAACAAACCACGUCGGUGUUAAUAAAUUGUAGACGUUGUAAAUUGUAAUAGACUACUAAGUCGUUAAAAUGACGUCGUUAAAAUGAGAAACCAUGGCGGCUAUUUAACUAUACGACGUAAAAUAUAUAUAUCAACGACUUAACCGCUGUCGUUACAUAAACGUCGUCGAUGAUACCCUGAACCCUUAAGAAAUUGAAGAUGUUGUAAACCAUAAACGACUCAAUUGUUCAAAGAACGUCGUCUAACUAUAUUUUUACGUCGUAUUUGUUUAAAACACGAAACAACAAAAUACGACGGUUUGUGACUUUAUUAGGUCGUUGGAAAAGUAUUACACGUCGGUUAAGCAAUUUGUAUGUUUGUUUUUUUUUUAAUUUAAGAAAACCUCAACAAAUUUUUACAUUACAUAUUAUAGAGAAAAUUUGUACAUUAUACAUAAAUAUCAAGUGUUCAAUAAUUGCCCUGUUUAAUAAUUUGGAAAACAAACUCUGCCCAUUCAUUCCGGACUUCAUCAAUGGCUUCUUGGGGGUAUGAAGCUUCCUGGUUUCCCUUGGCAUACUGCAUAAACAAUGACUAUUAGGGUUUAUAAAUAAAAAGAAAUUCAAUCACAGACGACGAUAUUUUUCAUAACCGACGUAGUAUAUCCAUUCAACGACGUUAAUUUUACAUGACCGUCGUUGAUAAUACAAAAAACGACGUGAAAUGUAUGAAGGUAAUUUCUUCUUACCUUAUUCUCAAACCCCAAGGAAGGAUCCAUGAUGAUGUCCCUCAUGAAGCGCAUCACAUAAUACCCGCAUUCGACAUUGCUGGGUUGCUUUGGUGUGCCUGAGAGAGUUUUCCAAAUUACAUUUUUACGUCCUGCUCGGGCUAUGUGGGUAUUAUAUAUUUUUAAAGCACUGUUCACGAUGUUUUUCGCCUCUUCGUCGACCACACGAUGACCUGGCAGAGGAUCCAGAAAAUAGACGGUCUCCUUCUUUGCUCUUACAAUCAGCAAGAUCCAAUGACGGCUGCACAAAAUUAAUAUAAAAACGACGGUUAUUUACAAAAACGACGUAUUAUAGUAUUCACACGACGAAANNNNNNNNNNNNNNNNNNNNNNNNNNNNNNNNNNNNNNNNNNNNNNNNNNNNNNNNNNNNNNNNNNNNNNNNNNNNNNNNNNNNNNNNNNNNNNNNNNNNCGACGGUUUAUUUACAAAACCGACGUAUAAUAGUAUUUCCACACGACGAAAUAAAGUAGAUAACGACGACAUUAUAUAUUUAUCACGACGAUAAAUAAAUACCGACGUGGUUAGUAGUUUCAAACGACUAAAUAAAAUAAAACACCGACGUGGUUAGUUUAUAAUCUGUCAUUUAUUGAAAAUCAUAAAAACAAAAUCCUAAGGAGACUAACCCUGGAUUGUAAGGCAUCAUGAAAAUCUGUUCACCCGUCUGUCUUCUGAAGUCGAGCUGCUACCAGUCGUGAUCUUUCAGUUAUUGUGCCAGAGUUGGCACUAACUGUAGCAGGGUCGAUAAAGCCAACCAUGCUGCACAUAUUGGCUUGUUUCAAAACAUCGUGUAAGUACCUAAAUACAUAAAAUAAUAUAAACAAGUCAGCACAAACAAACAUGACGGUUAUGUAUAAAAAAACGACGUAUUAUAAUAUUUCACACGACGUACUGAAAUAGAUGAGGACGUUAUAAUAUAUUUAUCACGACGGUAGUUAGUUAAGACGACGUGGUUAGUUAGUUAAGACGACGCAAUAUAUAAACCAACGAGGUAUUAUUUUAGAAGUACAAACCUCAUAUAUACAGCCAAUACAGUAGCUCCAAUUUCUUCCAUGCCUGCAAAUUGUGUAAUAUCUUCAGGCAGGAGGAAGGUAUCGCGCUCACCACCAAACACCUCCUUAUUAAUUGUAAAUUGGAGUGUCUUAUCCUCAGGCAGGAGUGUCGUUUCCACAAAACGACAAAGGGUUUUUAAAGAAGAUGGCGCCUCCAUAUUUGAAUAAGCACCAACUUCAAUAACCUGUUUAAAGAAAUAAAAAAAAUGACAUGGUAAUUCAAUAAAGACGACGGUUUAAGUAAUAAAACGUUGUCUUAAAAGUAUUUAAACGACGGUGAAAAAACCGUCGUGGUAAUUCAAUAAAGACGACGGUUUUAUGAAUAAAGCGUCGUCUGAAACCAUUUAAACGACGGUGCAAAAAUCGUCGUUUAAAUAUUUUAUUACGUCUUAAAAAAAUUCCGCCGUCUAAGUUUUAAACAAACGACGGAUUAAAUAAAAAUAUCGACGUCUGAAAUUUUGAAAAACAAAUAAAAAAGGCAAAGUUAUGUGAACAUACCUUGUCGUCAUGCUUUUCUUCAUCUUCUUUCUCCUUUUCUUCUUCCUUCUCUUCAUCUCUUUUUUCUUCUUCCUUCUCUUCAUCUGGCUGAUGUUUCCCCAUUUUGGCAGUAUCAUCCUCCAAAUGUAGGGAUCUCACAUCACCUCCAGAGCAGCUAGCUUUGUCAGACAUUGGAUUUUUGGGGCUUUGGCUAAUUCUUGGUUUAAGCAUGCUUGGAUCAAAAUUGGGAAUUAAUUGGGAAAGCUGACUCAGGAAAUGCUCCCUCUCAGCCUCUACCAAUUGUUUUGUCCUAGCCUCCAUCCUUAAGGCCUCUUCCCUUGCCUUAGCCUCCAUCUUUUUAGUCUCUUCUUGAAGGAGAACUCUUAAACUGUCCUUCAAACGGUCGUCAAAGCUCACCCUCUGUGGUUUGGGAAAAUUGAAAUAUUGCCUUGGGGAAACACCAGCACCAACUCCCCUCAGUCUGCCUGGAUGCUCGGGGCCCAAAGCCAUGGUCAGCACAUCAUUGCUGCCAUCUACUCUGACUUUGCCUUCCGAGACUUGUUUCUGCAAUUCAUCCUAAAAAAAGAUAAACAAAAAAACACACGACGGUUAUUUAUGUACAAACGACGUAUUAUAUAAUUUCACACGACGCAAUAACGUAUAAACCGACAUUAUUAUAACUUAUCACGACGGUGGUUAUACCGACGUGGUUAUUUAUUUAAAACGACGAAAUGAAUAAACAACCGACGUCUUAUGCUAUAAUUAAAGAUAACAGAGUAGUGACUCCUAUUUAGACCGUUAACGACGUUUUUAAAAAAGUUUCGACGUGGUAAUAUCAUUCACACGACGCGAAAAUGAACCACCGACGUCUUAUGCUAUAAUUACAGAAAACAUAGUAGUGAUUCCUAUUUAGACCUUUAACGACGUUUUUAAAAACUUUUCGACGUGGUAAUAUCAUUCACACGACGCAAAAUAUAACAUACGACGUAAUAAGAAUAAUUCACAGUUUAAUACAAAUUUAAAACAGAGUGAUAGUAGGCUUACUAUUAAUUUUGCUUUCUCUGCCACCUUUGGAUCAGGGAUGUUACCAUGUUUGUCCUGUCUAGCUCUCUUCCAUAAGGUAGAUCGAUCAAUUUCUACCCCAGGCAUGGUUUCCUCCAAUUGAUCCUCCAAUCCAGCAUAUCCUUUUCGAGACAAUCGAUGAUUGUACUCGAGUUUCUCCCUAAUCUGUGCAUGUUGAGAAUGCACAGACUCAAAAUCUUUGGAUAGCCUUGAAGCUACAAAGGCAUCCCAUUGUGCUUUCUCUGUGAAUUUAUAUGUUUCAGGGGGUUGGCUUAAUUUCUCCCUGUCAUUGGUGUAUGGAAGGAUAUAAUGCCUCGUUAGUGUAGACUUGAAAUCCUUCCAUUUCUUGGAAGCAGAAGCUAAAACAGAGGUCUUGCCCCCUUGGCCUACGACAAAAGCCAUGUCAACUGCUUCCCAAAUCUGCUCCUUUAUAUCCUUGGGGAUUUGGGACCAUUUCUUGUCCACAAGUGGGAUCCUGGAGCGUGCCAACACACCAAUAUACGACUGCAUCUCAAUAUGUGCUUGGCCAACACCUUUCCCCCUUUUAUUGUACUCAACAAUUGGCCUCAGUUUCUGAAGCUUUCUCUUCACAACACGAGGCAUUGUGCUCAUACCUCGACCAGUCUUUGAAUCAUCUGAGAUUGUUGUCUGGCUGGUUUGUUCUGUCUCAGCAGAUGAUGAAGCAAACUUCAUCUUCUUCGAAGACUUCAUCUCCUUCGAAGACUUGUCUUGAGGAGCUACCAUUCCAAGCUUCUUGGAGCCAGAAUCCUUAGUUUGUUGUUGAGAAACCAUUUUAACAGACAAAACUGCAAGUGAAAAUAUUUCAGGAAAACAUUAAGAACACAAACGACGGUAUUAAAAAAAUACGACGUAUGAUAUGAUUGUAGACGACGCAAUGAAAUAAUCUCAGACGUAAUAAAUGUUUAAAACCAUUAUUUAUAUAACGUCGUGGUAUAUAUGUUCACACGACGUCAAUAGUAAUACACCGUCGUGGUAAACUAUUAUUUAUAUAACGUCGUGGUAUUUAUGUUCAUAUGACGUCAAUAGUAAUACACCGUCGUGGUAUUAACAUUCACACGACGUAAAACAAUAAGAUAUUUUGUCGUCUAUAUUAGAUACCAACCCUAGUUUCUUUUUCUUUAUAUUUUAUCAAAUAAGGGAAAAACAAAAACCAUUGUUCAGCGAAAUCAAACCUGCAAUUAAACAAGCAUAUAAAAAAAGACUAUUAUUUUAAAAACAACUUUGUCAAUUUUCAGACGACGCUAGAACAACUGACGAACCGUCGUGGUCUACCUUCGUCUUAUUUAGUUGAUGUAGUUGUCUUCAAAGUUGGAAACUUUCACUCUUUGUCUGUAUAUUUUAUCAAACUUGGAAAGAAGUAAAAUGAUUUUGGCCAGAAAAAAGGUAAAAAGAUUUUUCAAACAAAAAACGUAUGAGCAUGCAAAACAGUAACCAAAAUAGUGAAGAUGAAAGCUUACCUUUUGCGUGCAAUGAAAGCAAGAGGAAGAUGAUCGAUGUUUAAGUUCAGAGACGACGAAGAAGACGAGAGGAAGACGAUGAGAAACUCUGACAAUGCUCUGACAAGGAAAAAAGACGAAAAGGUUUCUCUGGGAGAUUGAAAUUUUUAAUCGGGUUUGGAAACAGUGCAUGUGUAAGUCGAAAAGUUGCUUACAUAUAAAACCAUUUCAAAAAAAUAAUACGGCGGUUACAUUUAACUACGUCGUUUUUAACUAAAACGACGCAAUAUUUUUCAUUCGACGUGGAAUCAUUUCAUUUAACGUCGUUAGGUUUAAUAUAACCGACGUGGAUUUUAAUUUUUAAAUUAUGAAUAGAAUUUUUUUUCCCGUGACCUUUCAGUUUAUUUUUCAAUUACAGUGCGUUAUAAAUAGAGUUUUUUUUCCGGAGGAAAUUUAAAACGAAGGAAAUUAAUAUUCUGCAAUAUGUAAAGUUUCUUUUUUGGAUGACAGAUUUAAAUAAAAUAAGAAUAUAAAAACAACAAAUGUGUAAGUCAAGUAGACGAAAAGUUGCUUACAUAUAAAACCAUUUCAAAAAAAUAAUACGGCGGUUACAUAUAACUACGACGUAUAAAUUACAAAAUACGACGGUACAUUUAACUUCGGACAUGGUAAAUAAAUACGACAGUAGUUUGUAGGUACCGUCGUAGUAAACUCAAAAAUUAAAGUACAUAAGUAAUAACUCGCGUCAUGGUAUAUUAUUUAACACGUCGUUUGUAUUAAUUUACCGACGUGGAUUUCUGUAAUAUACGUCGAUAAUACCGACGUUGAUUUUACAAUUUAAACGGCGGUUUUUUUGUAAGGACCGCCGUUGGUUUUAAAAAUUUAUUCUAUAAAUUUGUCGCUUUCAUUCAUUUUCGGUUUACAUUUAAGGUUCCAAGUUCUUCCUCUCUCAGUCUCUCAUGUCUCAAAGACAAUAAUUUGGAUGUUUUCUCAAAGAGAAAUUGAGCUUACUCGCAUCAAAUAUAUGUCCACAAGAAGAAGCUUGUCAACUAGCCUUCUCACUUCCUUGAUCAAGCCUGAUAGGACACUUAGUGCUUCUGAAUACUCCUUGCUUUCCAUCAAAAGAGAUGCAAGCCUGGCCUCCACUCGCUGUCGAAGGAAAGUUCGCUUCUCAGGGAAAUCUGAAGAUCAGAUGUGCCUGAUCCUCUGCUUGAUUUUCUUGCCUAAGAAGAUCCGUCGGAUUUAUUGUGAUAGCCUCUUCCUUUAUCCGUAGAGCUUCAGAAGAAGAAGAUGGGUUUCAAGAAUGCGAUAAAGAAUAGAAAUUGCUUCAGAUGGCCUCUAAAGCAUGAGCAAUUGAAUCAGUAGUUUCUGGGAGAUAUGAUGAAGACAUUGUCAAUGCUUUGAACUACACAAGUCCUGCAGAAAGAUAUGUUAAAGAAACUGAAACAACGGCGGUUUUCUGUUCUACCGUCGUCUUUUAUCGUCGUCUAUAUUAAGUUAAGAUGGCGGUAGAUUUAUAAUUACCGACGUAGAUUAUUUUGUUAAACGUCGUUAAGUGUACUACAACCGACAUGGAUUUUAAUUUUAAAUUAUAAAUAGAGUUUUUUUUCCCGUAUUCUUUCAGUUUUAGUUUUCAAUUCCAAAGCGUGAUAAAUAGAUUUUUCUUUCCCGAGGAAAUUUAAAAUGAGGGAAAUUAAUGUUCUAGAAUUUGUAAACUAACACGACGCAAUAUUUGCAAAUCAGUGUCAUCUGUUAAGAUUAUGAUGUGGAACAGAGUUCCAUCUGGUAAGAUUUCGUAACCCUUGGGAUCUCAGACAAAACUGAUUAUGUCGGCGGUGUUCUAUAUAAACCGUCGUGGUUAUUUCAAUUCUUGUCAUUAAGUAGAUCUACCGACGUAGGAUAAGAAAAUCAAAGAAAAAAAUUGUUAACAAAAAUUCUUAUUAAGACGACCGUUAAAAUUAAAGGUACGACGUAUAAAAUGAAUAAAUACGACGAUAAAUUUUAUUGUACGAUUUAAAGAUAACGUCGUAGAACUAUACGAGAAUGACGUCGAUAUAUUUAUAUUUUCCGUCGUUGUAAAUUAAUUUAAUACGGCGAUAUUUUGUAUUUUAAAGCCGUGGAUUUGUUUGUAAUUAUACGGCGUCUUAUACGAAAACCUCGUCGUGUUAUUUUAUGAGUAAAAACGGCAGUUUUUAUUGAAAUCGUCGUCUUUACUUUCUACGUCGGUCGAUUCAUAACUUCUGCCGUUCUUUGUUGGCAUUGAUUUUACACUGCGGAAAUCUGUUUCAAAUAGACGUCGGUUGUUUAAUUAUGUACGUCGUUGUUUUUGAACAGCCAUUUGAAACUCCAUUUUUUAGUUGUCUAAGGUUGUAUUACACGACGGUGUUUUUAGAACCGUCGUCUUUUUAUAAACCACGACGAUUUUCACUUAGACCGUCGUUGUUUUCUGGUCGUCUUUUUCACUUUUUGUAGUAGUGACUCUUCAGCAAUAUUUUAUCAAAAUAUCGCUAUAAUAUCGAAAAUAUCGAUGUAAUGAAAAAAAAAGAAAAAAGAAGAAGCACAAAACACACAUGCAAAGGGGAUUCAAACUCUUGCCAUUUCACUCUUUCAACGCCUUAACCACCAUGUUGCUUAUGAUUUUUUGAUAAUAUGGUAAAAUAUGUAUAUUUAUAUUCUUUUGUUUUGAACUGUUUUUGUAAGAAUCAGAUUUUCACAUGAGAAUGUGAGUCAUUGACCGUUCUUUUUGGGAUGGAAUCGAGCGGCUCACGGAAAGAAUUUAAGACCCAAAUCUUCAAAUGAUUUUGCUUAUAGACAAUGUCAAUCAAUCUCAGAUCCAUAUGGGUGACAUGUUAACAAUUACAUACAAAACUAUUUUGAGGAUUUAUCAUUUGAUGACUACUCUUCACAAUACACUUAUUCUACACAUAGAGAUGAUGAAGAUAGUGAAAAAUUUGAACUUCAUAGGAACUCUAUGUGGCACUAAGUCACUCAUGUAUCUUAGCAUGCAAGUAUAAAGUGUAAGAUAUUGUAGUAAAUUAUUAUAUAUAAAUGAUUAUGGUGUGUUUAAUCUUCUUUCAUUAAUUAUUACAUAUUUUCUAUACUCACAAUGUUCAUCAGCUUGCUAUAUAAUCAACUUAAAUCAGUUAAACCCAUCAUGCAAUGCAUUUCCUUCCAAUUUUUUGUGACUAAUAGAUAAUUGACUAAAUAAACAUCCUCCAAAGUUUCAAUAAAAUUUUCCAAGUUUUUCUUAUAAUUUACGUCGUUUUUAUUCAAUUUUCAUCGAUAUCAAUAAUAUUCAGAUAUUUCCAUCGAAUUUUCGUGUAUUUGGACUACCGAUAUUUUCGAUACCAUCGAUAUUUUAGACCUUGGGUAUAAUAUAUAUAUAUGAUAAAGAUGGACUCAUUAGAAUUCCAAGUCAUCCAACAUCGGUGGAUUAUGUUCAAUCAAAACUAGAAACUCCGAAAGCCACGAUGUCACACCAUAUGUGAAGCCAAGUCUUCAGAGGUCUAAGCCCAACCCGUGGAAGUAGGCCCAAAACCUCCUGAUGUUUUUAUGCACGUGACGAGAUCCAUCCAAGGAAAGCAGUUGAAGAAAUUGAUGUCAAUCCGGAACAUUCAUAAUGAGGAGAGAAUCAAGUGAUUAGAUUUGCAAUUCGAUAAUCUCAUUCGAAUUAAUUCCGCGGAUUUUGGAAGCUACGAAAAGAAAAUUUUUGAACGAAGUUGACCUUUUGUCAUUUGAUGGCCAACCCAUGGACUGACAGAUGCCCCUAUAUAUACCUCUUUAGAUGAAGAGCAAAGGAGACCGACAUGAGAUACAAAAACCUACUUUUUGUUUUUCACUUUUCUAUCCCUGGACUAGGUUUUUAUUUUCCAAGCAAGUAGACUAGAUUAGUUCUUCGAUUUCGUUAGUGUAAGUUUAAUUUCUUGCAUUUUCCAUUACGUUAUUUUAAGAUCCAAAUUUGUUGCUUUACUUUUAAUUGUUAUCGAUUUUUUUUUAAGUUUAAUAUAAUUUCAAAUUGCUUUAUUUUAUCAUAUUUAUCGUUCAUAUCGUUCAUAUAGUUCUUGUUUCAUUCUUACUUAAAUUUACGUUUAUUGUUGCUUCAAUCUUAUUUUUGCAUUUAUUUUCUUGUUAUUUAGUGGCUUGGUGGCUUGGUUUGCCUCAUACUAUGUAGAAGUGCAUGUACAAUUCGAUUUGAAGGGUGCAAAUUCAAGUGCAAAGAAGACACCAACGGGCACGGGUAGAGGUGGUUCAUCUGCCACAGCUGAGAAAAAAGGCGGCCAAGGUUCGGGGCUGAUGGAAAGAGAAAGAGAAGAAGAGGGAGAUGAAAGAAGAGACGUUGCCUUUCCUUCUUCCUGUAUUUGGCACGUUUUUUAAGAAAAUGUAAAUAGAUUUUUCCUCCACACAAACAUUUUUGGUAGGUCACUUGGUGAGGAACGGUAGGAUCUUCGGUUGUAGUGUUGGCUUACAGGGUUAUACUGGUGAUACUAUUGAAUUCAACUCCAAGAUUUAUCUUUUGCCUUUAGUAGCAUUUUAUUUUCAUCAAUGCACUAGAUAAUGGUUUUAGUAGAUUAACUUGUGUUUACGGUGGUUUGAUAUAGUGUGUCAGGUGACAAUUCUCACUGAGUAAUCUGAGAACCAGAGCUUCUACAAAAUCACUAACCAGUUCAUAAAAUAUGUUUGUCUUUUUCUAAUCUCACCAUGAGAAAUAUUAAUUAAUUUGCCUUAACAAAAAUAAUACAAAGUAUUGGUUUGUAUUAAACUUUGUUGGUUAAUACUUUUUUUAAUAAAAAAUUUGCUGCUGGUUAAUCUCUGGUUAAGCUUAAUAUUUAGGAGGGGUGUGUUUUCUCACACACAAAUGUCAAAGUGCCAUAAGGAUUUGAACAGAAGACUAUUAGUCUGCAAAGCAAGGUACUUUUUCACUAGUGUCCGAAUCAAAUCAUGCUUGAAGAAUACUAAUAGGGGAUUUUUCUUUCAGCUGAUAAAAGUAAAACAUCAAAGCUCAUCAUGGUGAUCGAAAACCAGAUGCAUCCAAAUUGCAAGGCAUGCCUUUCUCUUUGUGGUAGUAUAAUGAGCAUCCCUCUCAUACCCUCCAUAAUAAUCCUAAGCAUUAAUGUUGUAAAUUAGAUAAAUCCAUACAUACAUAAAACGAGCAUAAUAAGUAAUAGUAGCUAGUGGGAAUUAUAUCCCAACAAUUCAACAAGAACGAACAAAGUAGUAAUAUUCUCACUCUCAUAGCAAUACUACAAAUAGUAGGACAAAACAAUAUUGGUAAACACACGAGUGGUCCAUAUAGUUCUCCAGAAAUCCCUAAAAUAGAUCUUGCAUCUAGGUAUGCAACACCAUAUGAAGGGCCCAUACCAUAUGUGAUUAUGAACCUUUAUUUAACUACAUAUAGAUAUAGUAGUACAACAAAUAUUACUGUCCGUCUGGGAAACGGAAACCGUCAAUAUGCUACUGAUAAUAUGUCGAUAUAAUUGUCGCCAAUAAAACGUACUGACAUGUUAUCGAUACAUUUUCAGUAAUAUCGAUGCACAUAUAUUAUUUCAACAAUAUGCACAACCUUUAUUUAAUAAAGAACUGAUGGCUUGCAUAGAGAACUUCUGAGAUAUUCAUCAGAGACGUAUAUGUAAACACCAUUUUUAUUAAGGGGUGGUGGUUAUUGAAGGUGGAGAGAACGGAAAUAUGGGAGUUGAUGGGAAAUUUGGAAGUGAAGUAAUAAUAGGGGGAGGCAACCUAUAUUCUGGCCAUAAAGGUGUGGAGGUCAGAGGAGGAAACUUCAGGUUAGGGAUCUUGGGCAGCUUAUAACGAGGAAAGGUAGGGGCUAAGAGUUUUCGAGGGGCAGCGAAAGCUGAAUGUGUGCUUGAAAGUAAUGAAGCGAUGACAAAGAUAGCUAUGACAAACGAUUUCCAAGUUGCCAUCUUAGUGUGUGGAAAUAAAGCUUAUGAAAUUUGAUGUGAACGAGAAGACCAGCCUAUGGUUAUAAUUUAUAACGUUCAGAGGGAAC